AAGGGAGGCCCCAACAGCGAUGGCUGCAAACCCUUGGAGGUGGCAUUGCCAAAAGCGGACGUCAAUAGAUGUAAUGCAAAAAUAGUGUCUUGUGUUCAAAAAAGGUUGGGAAAUACUGAGUGAAAGAAUAGUGCACAAACCAUAGGCACACAGCUCAAGGAAUUAUCAGGAAUUGAACAUGUCCACGUGUGCCCAACCCAGCUCUCCAGCACACCUUCCCAGCCUCAACCCAUCAUCUGGAUUCUGAGGUUCUUGGCUCCAGUGAGGACGUUAUUGCUGAGAAUUAGAUGCUGAAGUUGGCACCAUCAAAUAACUAGUCCUGGAUGCAUGUCACUAGUAGCAGCCAUCUCACUGCCUCAGGAACUCAAGUUUACCAUGGUCACCAUGGCCUUGGAGAAUACUCACCUCAUCCUUUUUGUGCAUCACUCGCUCUCAAUUCUAAAAAAGGAGAGAACAUCUGAUUGGCAAAGCCUAGGUGAUACAAAUAUCUGGAAUUCUCAUCUUUUGUAAUGGGAAGUAACUCUGCUUGCUGUUAAGAUUCACAGAGCUUUGGAGUAAACCAGAGUAAAAGCAACCAAAACAGAGUCCAAGUCAGGGUCCUUCCAUCCUCAAACCAGGCUCCAGUGGUCUGCUCUAGCUCAGGCGUGAUUAGAUUUGCAUUUUAGAAAGAAACUUUGGCUACCACAUGGAGAAAUAAUGAGGAGAAGCAAAUGAGAAGACCGCCCAAAGCAGCAGUUCUGGCAGGAGAUGGGCACUGGGUCUCCUAGUUGGUGGCUGAGUGCAGAUGCUGGCAGGAUGUCCUGAAGGUAGAAUGGAGUGCAUAAUUCUGCAGGUGUGAUGUAUCUUCAAAUAUUAGAAAAGCAGGAACAUGCUGAGAGCGAAACAGAAAAAUAAAUCAAAAAGAAAUCAAAAGA
rnacentral:lncRNA from 10 species